GUUAAUACAUAAAGCCUUGUUAAUACAUGCACCUCAUCAUGUUUAUUUAUUUUUGCAGACAGUGACAGUAGUGAAUUCUGCAUUAAAGGAUCUGAUCGAAGAUUAAGGAGAACCAGUAAAAUAACUUGCAGAAGAUCAAAACGACCUCCGUGGAAGUGAGCCAAUAAAGAAAGAACUUCAAUCUACCAUUCAUUUUUUUAAAUGUUAUGAACACCAGUUCAUUAACAUAAG